ACGAACGCUGGCGGCGUGCUUAACACAUGCAAGUCGAGCGGUAAGGCCCUUCGGGGUACACGAGCGGCGAACGGGUGAGUAACACGUGAGCAAUCUGCCCUUCACUCUGGGAUAACCAUCGGAAACGGUGGCUAAUACCGGAUAUGACCACUGCCCGCAUGGGUUGGUGGUGGAAAGUUCUGGCGGUGAAGGAUGGGCUCGCGGCCUAUCAGCUUGUUGGUGAGGUAAUGGCUCACCAAGGCUUCGACGGGUAGCCGGCCUGAGAGGGUGACCGGCCACACUGGGACUGAGACACGGCCCAGACUCCUACGGGAGGCAGCAGUGGGGAAUAUUGGACAAUGGGCGAAAGCCUGAUCCAGCAACGCCGCGUGAGGGAUGACUGCCUUCGGGUUGUAAACCUCUUUCAGCGGGGACGAAGCGCAAGUGACGGUACCCGCAGAAGAAGCACCGGCCAACUACGU
rnacentral:rRNA from 1 species